AAGUCGUAACAAGGUUUCCGUAGGUGAACCUGCGGAAGGAUCAUUAACGAAUCUGGUGGGUGGGUGUGGGUGUGGUGGGGUGGGGGGAUGUGCGAUAGCGAUAUAGCAUAUGAUGUUUGAUAACACGUAUGAUGAUAUUGAUAUAUAGCAUAGCCCUCUAGCCAUCAUCACACCGCCCACAUACAUUGCCUCGGACGGGCGGCCAUGGUGCUUUGCUUUGCUAUCGCACCGGCAGCCCGUCUUGAGCACAUUCACGCGUGUAGUGUGUGACUGAGUCAUGAUAUACUUUAAUUAAGACAACUUUUAACAAUGGAUCUCUUGGCUCCU
rnacentral:misc_RNA from 1 species